rnacentral:lncRNA from 1 species
UUUAUUUAGGAGAUUUAGGAGCAGAGGCCAGCAUAACACUCUAAAUCACCAGGAUUAUCUGCAUCUCUACAGACACUGAUAGAGAGUGCCUAGGAGCCAGUCUGCGCUGAUGCUAGCACUGUUGAACUGUGAGCAGAUUUCAGGCUGCUUCUAAACUCGAGGCCUGGCCCUGUUCUGAUCACUUGGAGGAAACCGUUUUAAAAUAUGCCCAUCACAGUGGUUCCUGCACAGACGUUCAUUCAAGCUGCUUAGUAACCACCAUCACUGCAUCCAUGUGCUCCAGAAAGUUUCCAACCAUAAGGAAAAAAAAAAAAAGAAAAUCAUUGCUUAGCCAUGAAAUUAAGCCCUGGAAAACCAUAAAUUCAUUGGAAAUUGGAUGCAGGCAAUUACAAUAAAGAUACCAGAGUAGCAAAAGGGUGAUGGAGAUGCAACUGGGAUUUGAUUUGGAAGUGAUGCAAGAAAAAAAAUCAAGGAAAGAAAGACAGAGCUCCUCGUCUUGACCUGUUGCAUCUAAUUCCUUGCUUCCCUGAACCUGUUUCAUUCUUCUCCAAGGAAAAAUUGAUAGAUGAAACUAAGCUUCCUUCUUGCCCAAUGUUUGAUGUAAAGAAAUUCUCAAAUCCUGUAAUUAUCCCAAAUGUGCCAUAGCACUUUAGUUUCAACAAAGGGUUAGCAAUCCUGACAGGUAAGAAGAAAUGUGUCUGUUAAGGAGAGGAACAUGGAUGAAUAAAAGAAAGAAAAAC